UACGUAGGGUGCAAGCAUUAAUCGGAAUUAUUGGGCGUAAAGGGCGUGUAGGCGGAUGGAUAAGUCAGAUGUGAAAUUCCGGGGCUCAACCUCGGAGCUGCAUUUGAAACUGCCCAUCUAGAGGGUUGACGGAGAAAACGGAAUUCCACGUGUAGCGGUGAAAUGCGUAGAUAUGUGGAAGAACACCAGUGGCGAAAGCGGUUUUCUAGUUAAUACCUGACGCUGAGGCGCGAGAGCAAGGGGAGCAAACAGG
rnacentral:rRNA from 1 species